GGAGUAAAGAAUAACUGAAGCCUGGGCCAUGCAUCCUUUUAGGGUGGCACAAGCAUCUCAACCUCAGUACAGAGAUGUACAGCCUCCUUAUUCACACCUCUGAGUUCCUGGUGAUGGUAAUCAAAGAGGUCUUGGAAUUUACUAUUGAAAGAUGAAAAAAAAGUCAAAUUUGUACAAAUCAGAACUCUCCCAGCUUACUUGUGAGUCUGCUUCUGCAUAUACUCGGACUAUGUCUUCUGUACCAGAUGGCCGGACAAAAGCUCGGGAAAGCUCGUACUUCUUCACCAGGUCAUUGAUUGCCUCCUGUAGUCCUGG